AUCGUAGAAGGAUUUUUAAUAUGACUUCCUAUUUAAAAUCUCAGGGGAUUGCGUUCACCAAACACUCGCGCGAAUUCUACCGGAGCCUAUCAUCGAUUCAUCUCUAUACCCAUAUCAACCUUUGCUUUAGGCCUUGGGGUUAAUAUGAUUCCGUCCUUUUGCUCCAAUUUUUCCCUCCACAGUUUCCGAUUCUGUUUAAUGGCCUGUGCUUGUUGUUCCUUCUCGCGUGAUCCUAUUUGAUAGUUUCUUAAUUUUCCGAAUUAUAAUGAGUUUGAUUACUUAUGUAGAAACAUCUUCGAUUCUUGAUCACUCGAGCAGUUAAUGGCAGGAGAUCGAGUUUUUCGCCGUCGGAUUAGUUGCAUCGAAGUUCCAAGCGAAAGAAGAAGAAGAAAGAGAAAGUAAAACCGGCCGGAGAAGUUCUCGAUCCUUUGGAUUCAUUGACAUGCCGUUAAUUCUCACUCCAUAAUUUAGAAAGAAUAAAAAGGCCUCUACGCAAAUCUUCUUUCUAUGAUAGGAGAUAUUCGGUGGAUUUGGCUUCCAACUCCAGGAUUUUUGUGAAGUGUGCGGAAAUUUCUUGGAUCCUUACGUUUCAGAUUUUGCAUUCCUACCAUUACUUCCUUAUGUAAGCAGGUUAAACCCUGUCUACAUAUCUGGGUCAUAGUCGGAUCUGAUUCUUUAAUGUCAAUGAUCAGUAAAUAUAAAUUGAAGAGAUUGGUAAUUCUAGGCUCUUAUGAAGAAGUGAGAAGGUAUAUAUAUUUCUUUAUGUUUUGUUGUUGUGUCGACCUUUGCCAUGACAGGUGCGCUUGCUUGGCAGGUCAAUAAUAAAAAAAAUAAAAUAUUCGUUUUGGUGUGUUCAGGGAGGGGAUGGUACGGUGUUGUUUUGAUCCGGCUCUCCUCCCCCACUCUCUCUCUCCCUCCCCCUCUCUUUUUUUUCUCUCUUUUUCAGUUCUUUCUAUAUUUUUGCUCAGUAUUUGCUUGGCUCACGAUUACAACUAACGUACAAAUUGAGCGCAACAAAGAUUGGUAUGUGCGUGCAACAAAAUCUGAAUCAAUGGUGCGACAUCAAGGUUCAGGAUCAGCAGACAGGAAAGGUUAUUGGUACGAGAUGGAAGGUGGGAUGAUUAUUUGAGCUCACAUCCCUCUAGCACUCUUAUGUGUGUUUCCACCCAUCUUCGCACCAGUUACUGACAACACUAUAUGUCAGUAGCAUCUUCGCCUUAGUCAUACAUCCUCUAAUAAACUUCGUAAUUUAGUUUCUAUCGACACUUUAAACGUCUCUAAAUUUAGUCCUUUUGACUGUUUAUAUUGAAAGUUUGCAAAACAACCUUUUCAUCCUUUACCACUUCUGCCUCAUUAUGUGAUACACCAUUUGGCCUAAUUCAUUCCGACAUUUAGGGUCCUGCUCGAUGUACUACUAUUAAUAGUUUUCGAUACUUUAUUUUAUUUAUUGAUGACUAUUCCUAUUUUA